AAGCGGUGGAUGAUGUGGUUUAAUUCGAUGCAACGCGAAAAGCCUUACCCACCUUUGACAUGUACGGAAGCCUUUAGAGAUAGAGACGUGCUCGAAAGAGAGCCGUAACACAGGUGCUGCAUGGCUGUCGUCAGCUCGUGUCGUGAGAUGUUGGGUUAAGUCCCGCAACGAGCGCAACCCUUGUCAUUAGUUGCUACAUUCAGUUGGGCACUCUAAUGAGACUGCCGGUGGACAAGCCGGAGGAAGGUGGGGAUGACGUCAAGUCCUCAUGGCCCUUAUAGGUGGGGCUACACACGUCAUACAAUGGCUGGUACAAAGGGUUGCCAACCCGCGAGGGGAGCUAAUCCCAUAAAGCCAGUCGUAGUCCGGAUCGUAGUCUGCAACUCGACUACGUGAAGUCGGAAUCGCUAGUAAUCGUGGAUCAGAACGUCACGGUGAAUACGUUCCCGGGUCUU
rnacentral:rRNA from 1 species